rnacentral:rRNA from 1 species
UACGUAGGUGGCAAGCGUUGUCCGGAUUUAUUGGGCGUAAAGCGCGCGCAGGCGGUCCUUUAAGUCUGAUGUGAAAUCUUGCGGCUCAACCGCAAGCGGUCAUUGGAAACUGGGGGACUUGAGUACAGAAGAGGAAAGCGGAAUUCCACGUGUAGCGGUGAAAUGCGUAGAGAUGUGGAAGAACACCAGUGGCGAAGGCGGCUCACUGGACCGGCAUUGACGCUGAGGCGCGAAAGCGUGGGGAGCAAACCGG